AUUGAACGCUGGCGGCAGGCUUAACACAUGCAAGUCGAGCGGGGGAAGGUAGCUUGCUACUGGACCUAGCGGCGGACGGGUGAGUAAUGCUUAGGAAUCUGCCUAUUAGUGGGGGACAACAUCUCGAAAGGGAUGCUAAUACCGCAUACGUCCUACGGGAGAAAGCAGGGGAUCUUCGGACCUUGCGCUAAUAGAUGAGCCUAAGUCGGAUUAGCUAGUUGGUGGGGUAAAGGCCUACCAAGGCGACGAUCUGUAGCGGGUCUGAGAGGAUGAUCCGCCACACUGGGACUGAGACACGGCCCAGACUCCUACGGGAGGCAGCAGUGGGGAAUAUUGGACAAUGGGGGGAACCCUGAUCCAGCCAUGCCGCGUGUGUGAAGAAGGCCUUAUGGUUGUAAAGCACUUUAAGCGAGGAGGAGGCUACUUUAGUUAAUACCUAGAGAUAGUGGACGUUACUCGCAGAAUAAGCACCGGCUAACUCUGUGCCAGCAGCCGCGGUAAUACAGAGGGUGCGAGCGUUAAUCGGAUUUACUGGGCGUAAAGCGUGCGUAGGCGGCUUAUUAAGUCGGAUGUGAAUCCCCGAGCUUAACUUGGGAAUUGCAUUCGAUA
rnacentral:rRNA from 1 species